UACUCUGCGAUAGGUUUUCAUCUGAUUCUUUUCAGGUAAUAUUUACAUAUUUACGAUAUCUUAACUUAAUAAUUAAAUUCGUAAUUAAUAACAAUGUAUUAUGAAUAAUGUCUUCAGAAGAGGAGAAAAAUAAAUUCUGAUAAUAGGGGAAAGUUAGAAGUGAACCACGUAGCUAGUUCAAAGUUAUUUGUACGACUUCGUCACGACAUGGGAGAUUCCGUCACUGGCCAGGAGCUCGGACCAGUAGACUUCUACAGAGGGACUCACUAUCGGCAGGCGACAGGAUCUUGGGUACAUCCUAGAGCCAGCGAGAUUUGGGAGGAGAUGGACACCUUACGCAGUCAACCCACUCCCGAUGGUACUUAGCGGAGUGAGCCAGAGAUCUUGAGUCAGGUGCUUGGCACCCGUUCUGGAUAUGUGCGUGGGCUUAGCCAUGGUGCCAAGCUCAUGACACUCGCUAAAGCUACCUCUAGUCGAUCCAUCGUCGUUGG